ACGGCUCAGUAACACGUAGACAACCUACCCUCAGCACGGGGAUAAACCCGGGAAACUGGGUAUAAUACCCGAUAGUUCUGGGAAGCUGGAAUGCUCCCAUGACGAAAGCUCCGGCGACUGAGGAUGGGUCUGCGGCCUAUCAGGUAGUAGUGGGUGUAAUGUACCUACUAGCCUACGACGGGUACGGGUCGUGAGAGCGAGAGCCCGGAGAUGGAUUCUGAGACACGAAUCCAGGCCCUACGGGGUGCAGCAGGCGCGAAAACUUUACAAUGCUGGCAACAGCGAUAAGGGGACCUCGAGUGCCGGGUUACAAAUCUGGCUGUCGUGAUGCCUAAAAAGCAUUGCAUAGCAAGGGCCGGGCAAGACCGGUGCCAGCCGCCGCGGUAACACCGGCGGCUCGAGUGGUAACCGUUAUUAUUGGGUCUAAAGGGUCUGUAGCCGGCCGGAUAAGUCUCUUGGGAAAUCUGGCAGCUUAACUGUCAGGCUUUCAGGAGAUACUGUCUGGCUCGAGGCCGGGAGAGGUGAGAGGUACUUCAGGGGUAGGGGUGAAAUCUUGUAAUCCUUGAAGGACCACCAGUGGCGAAGGCGUCUCACCAGAACGGACCUGACGGCAAGGGACGAAAGCUAGGGGCACGAACCGGAUUAGAUACCCGGGUAGUCCUAGCCGUAAACGAUACUCGCUAGGUGUCGGCCACGGUGCGACCGUUGUCGGUGCCGUAGGGAAGCCGUGAAGCGAGCCACCUGGGAAGUACGGCCGCAAGGCUGAAACUUAAAGGAAUUGGCGGGGGAG
rnacentral:rRNA from 1 species